UAAAGUACUAAUUUUUAAAAUUUAAGAAUUAUUUUUUAUAGAUAAAAGUUUUGCAAAUUAUAUCAUUCUCUAAUACAUUUAUAUUUUAUAUAUGGUAACAUUAUACAUACCACAUAACAUUUUUGGUUUUAUAUAAUCUUUUCUAAAUUAAGAUGAUUUGAUAUGUUUAAUAUUAGUGGUCUUAAAAAAUAAUAAAUUAAAGAUUUAACCCGUAUUGAAACGGUGUAUUAAUUAUAUUUUACUUUUUUAUUAAUGUUGAUUCAAAAACCCGUCACUCCAAAUCUAUCUUGCCAAAAAGCCAUUUAUUUUAUUAAUAUUAAUUUUAUUAAUGAUAUGAUUCUGAAUUAUAAUCUAAAUAUUUUAGCUAAUAACAUAGGAGUAUACCAUUUUUAUUUAAUAGGGGAAUGUACCAUAUGAACCGAAUGCACUUUUACCCAAAUCCACCAAAAAAGUCUUGUAAAAAUACUAUAGAGAUAAGAAACGAUAGUCGGUUUUGAUAGGUAUAAGAUUAGCAAAUAUAUUAGUUAGCUUAAAUUAGUUAAAGAAUACAAAUUAAAAAUAUAUAUUAUACUUUAUUCGAAUAUAGUAUCAAAACUUAUAUAACACAGAGAUUUGAUAAAAUUUUAAUUGUUGAAUACUUUUUUUUGUGCUAAUUUUUAUGUGAUUAAGAUUUAAUUUAAGAUUUAAUUGAUUUUGUAUAUAAAAUAUUAAAAGUAAACUGUGAGUUGUAUAUGUUUUGUUGAUAUUAUCUAUAUUUUUUAGUGUUUAAGAUUAUACACUUGUAGUUUGAUUGUUAAUUUAAGAGUUUCACAUGUAGUAUACCAUCUUGUAUUAAUAUCGAUCUAAACCCGUCAAUUCUAGGAUUUUUCAGCUUGCAUUAAAAAUUGAAUCACAUCAUACACAUAAAAAAAUCUAAUAUAUUAUUAAUUAUUGUAUUAUAUAAGAUUAUAAAUUUUCAAUAUAAUAUGUAUGAAAUUGAAUAUAAAUAUUUCAAAUUAUGACCCGUUACUCAGUAGAAAGUUUUCUUAAAUCUAUUUUUCACCCGUUAUAAUAUUUUUUCAUGUAUUGAACAGUUUAUAUUCGUUUUCAAAAAUUCAAAUUAUGGCAUAUGCGAAAAAACUCUAAUUAUUUUUUUAUAAUGAUGAUAUUAUUUUUCGCAAAAAUAGAAUCAUAUAUAGAUGAGAAGUGAACUAUAAUAAUUAAUAAAAAAUUAAUAUGAUAAUUUAGAUAUCAAAUCUAAUUUGUUGAUUUUAAUAGGUUACUUUUUUGGAAAUUAAUAAUGUAUUUCGUUUUUCUAAUUAAAUUAAAUUAAUUAAAAUUUAGAUAUCAAAUCUUAUAUGUUGAUUUUGAUUGGUUAUUAUUUUUGAAAAUUAAUAAUGUAUUUCGUUUUUUAAUUAAAUUAGUAAUU
rnacentral:sRNA from 1 species